GGCCCAGACUCCUACGGGAGGCAGCAGUGGGGGAUAUUGCACAAUGGGGGGAACCCUGAUGCAGCGACGCCGCGUGGGUGAAGAAGCGCCUCGGCGCGUAAAGCCCUGUCAGCAGGGAAGAAAAUGACGGUACCUGAAGAAGAAGCCCCGGCUAACUACGUGCCAGCAGCCGCGGUAAUACGUAGGGGGCAAGCGUUAUCCGGAUUCACUGGGCGUAAAGGGAGCGCAGGCGGCACGGCAAGUCUGGUAUGAAAGCCCGGGGCCCAACCCCGGGACUGCAUUGGAAACUGCCGGGCUGGAGUGCCGGAGGGGUAAGCGGAAUUCCUGGUGUAGCGGUGAAAUGCGCAGAUAUCAGGAAGAACACCGGUGGCGGAGGCGGCUUACUGGACGGCAACUGACGCUGAGGCUCGAAAGCGUGGGGAGCAAACAGGAUUAGAUACCCUAGUAGUU
rnacentral:rRNA from 1 species